CAGUAGCCGCGGUAAUACAGAGGGUGCAAGCGUUAAUCGGAUUUACUGGGCGUAAAGGGCGCGUAGGUGGUUAUUUAAGUCUGAUGUGAAAGCCCCCGGCUCAACCGGGGAGGGUCAUUGGAAACUGGGAAACUUGAGUGCAGAAGAGGAGAGUGGAAUUCCACGUGUAGCGGUGAAAUGCGUAGAGAUGUGGAGGAACACCAGUGGCGAAGGCGACUCUCUGGUCUGUAACUGACGCUGAGGAGCGAAAGCGUGGGGAGCGAACAGGAUUAGAGACCCCUGUAGUCCCUGUCUCUUAUAC
rnacentral:rRNA from 1 species